rnacentral:rRNA from 1 species
AGUGGUGUACAGGUGAGUAUUAAUUAUUUGCCUACCUUAAGGUAAGGGAAAAGAAAUCCCUUAUAUAAAAAAAGGAAAUAUCCGCCUUAAGAAGAAUCGAUAAUUAAAAGAGAUAGGUAGUUGUUAAAGUAAAGGUUUAACUAGCCCAAUAUUCUCUUAGUCGAAAUUGAACGAUUGAUCGACCACAUUGGGAAUGAGAAAAACCCAAAACAAGCGAGUACAGCAGUGGGGAAUAUUAGUCAAUGGCCUAGCAGCUGAACUGGCAACUUGGAGGAAUGGCCUAUAUUAGAGUGAAAAAGGUUAAAUAAUUUUAUAAUUAAAUAAAAUUCUAAAUAUAUAUUAUUAUAAUGACUAUAUAUAUUAAUGUCUUGACUAAUUACGUGCCAGCAGUCGCGGUAAUACGUAAGAGACUAGUGUUACUCAUCUUUACUAGGUUUAAAGGGUACCCAGACGGAAGAAAUCUGCCCAAAAAGGGGACAAUUUUUAUCUAGAGUUAAAAUAAGAAAAGGUCGAAUCUAUGGAGGAGAACUAAAAAUCUAAGAUACUAUAGGGACGGGUAAGGCGAAGGCAGCCUUUUAGAAAAUAACUGACGUCGAAGGACGAAGGCUAAGGUAGCGAAAAGGAUUAGAGACCCUUGUAGUCUUAGCAGUAAAUUCUGAAUGCCACUUAUUAAUAAUAUUUAAUUUGUAAAUGAAAAUGUAAGCAUUUCACCUCAUGAGUAAUGUGGCAACGCAGGAACUGAAAUCACUAGACCGUUUUUGACACCAGUAGUGAAGUAUGUUAUUUAAUUCGAUGAUCCGCGAAAAACCUUACCACAACUUGAAUUAUUUAUAUUUAUGUAUAUAUAUAAAUAACUAGUGUUGCACGGCUGUCUUCAGUUGAUGUUGCAAAACUGUGGCUUUGGCCACGAAAUUAACAAAAACCCCUACUUUAUUUAUUAAUAUAAAUUUUAUAAAGUAUUUUUACUCUAAAGAUCGAGAAAAUAAUAGGGACCAAGACAAGUCAUCAUGGCCUUUGUGUUGUGGGCUAUAGACGUGCCACAUUUACCUAGACAAAGAGAUGCAAAAAUGAAAAUUUAAGCUAAUCUUGAAAAUAGGAUAAAAAAGAUAUGGAUUGUAGUCUGAAACUCGACUAUAUGAAAAAGUAAUUACUAGUAAUCGUGAAUCACCAUCGUCACGGUGAAUUUUAAAUCGGAUUGGUACUAACCACUCG